rnacentral:rRNA from 1 species
AUUGAACGCUGGCGGCAGGCUUAACACAUGCAAGUCGAGCGGGGUGAUGGUGCUUGCACUAUCACUUAGCGGCGGACGGGUGAGUAAUGCUUAGGAAUCUGCCUAUUAGUGGGGGACAACAUUUCGAAAGGAAUGCUAAUACCGCAUACGUCCUACGGGAGAAAGCAGGGGAUCUUCGGACCUUGCGCUAAUAGAUGAGCCUAAGUCGGAUUAGCUAGUUGGUGGGGUAAAGGCCUACCAAGGCGACGAUCUGUAGCGGGUCAGCGAGGAUGAUCCGCCACACUGUGAAUGAAACAAGGCCCAGACUCCUACGGGAGGCAGAAGUGGGGAAUAUUGGACAAUGGGCGGAAGCCUGAUCCAGCCAUGCCGCGUGUGUGAAGAAGGCCUUAUGGUUGUAAAGCACUUUAAGCGAGGAGGAGGCUACUUUAGUUAAUACCUAGAGAUAGUGGACGUUACUCGCAGAAUAAGCACCGGCUAACACUGUGCCAGCCGCCGCAGUAAAAC